UGCAGCCGAGCGGUAUUGUUUCUUCGGAAAUGAGAGAGCGGCGUACGGGUGCGGAACACGUGUGCAACCUGCCUUUAUCUGGGGGAUAGCCUUUCGAAAGGAAGAUUAAUACUCCAUAAUAUAUUGAACGGCAUCGUUUGAUAUUGAAAGCUCCGGCGGAUAGAGAUGGGCACGCGCAAGAUUAGCUAGUUGGUGAGGUAACGGCUCACCAAGGCGAUGAUCUUUAGGGGGCCUGAGAGGGUGAUCCCCCACACUGGUACUGAGACACGGACCAGACUCCUACGGGAGGCAGCAGUGAGGAAUAUUGGUCAAUGGGUGCAAGCCUGAACCAGCCAUCCCGCGUGAAGGACGACUGCCCUAUGGGUUGUAAACUUCUUUUGUAUAGGGAUAAACCUACCCUCGUGAGGGUAGCUGAAGGUACUAUACGAAUAAGCACCGGCUAACUCCGUGCCAGC
rnacentral:rRNA from 1 species